CAACUCCCAAACCCAAUGUGAACGUUACAAACUGUUGCCUCGGCGGGGUCACGCCCCGGGUGCGUCGCAGCCCCGGAACCAGGCGCCCGCCGGAGGAACCAACCAAACUCUUUCUGUAGUCCCCUCGCGGACGUAUUUCUUACAGCUCUGAGCAAAAAUUCAAAAUGAAUCAAAACUUUCAACAACGGAUCUCUUGGUUCUGGCAUCGAUGAAGAACGCAGCGAAAUGCGAUAAGUAAUGUGAAUUGCAGAAUUCAGUGAAUCAUCGAAUCUUUGAACGCACAUUGCGCCCGCCAGUAUUCUGGCGGGCAUGCCUGUCCGAGCGUCAUUUCAACCCUCGAACCCCUCCGGGGGAUCGGCGUUGGGGAUCGGGACCCCUCACACGGGUGCCGGCCCCGAAAUACAGUGGCGGUCUCGCCGCAGCCUCUCCUGCGCAGUAGUUUGCACAACUCGCACCGGGAGCGCGGCGCGUCCACGUCCGUAAAACACCCAACUUUCUGAAAUGUUGACCUCGGAUCAGGUAGGAAUACCCGGUGA
rnacentral:rRNA from 3 species